rnacentral:rRNA from 1 species
CAGCCGCCGCGGUAACACAGAGGAUGCAAGCGUUAUCCGGAAUGAUUGGGCGUAAAGCGUCUGUAGGUGGCUUUUUAAGUCCGCCGUCAAAUCCCAGGGCUCAACCCUGGACAGGCGGUGGAAACUACCAAGCUGGAGUACGGUAGAGGCAGAAGGAAUUUCCGGUGUAGCGGUGAAAUGCGUUGAGAUCGGAAAGAACACCAACGGCGAAAGCACUCUGCUGGGCCGACACUGACACUGAGAGACGAAAGCUAGGGGAGCAAAUGGGAUUAGAUACCCCUGUAGUCCCUGUCUCUUAUAC